AACGAACGCUGGCGGCGCGCCUAAUACAUGCAAGUCGAGCGAGAAGACGUAGCAAUACGUUUGUAAAGCGGCGAACGGGUGAGGAAUACAUGGGUAACCUACCCUCGAGUGGGGAAUAACUAGCCGAAAGGUUAGCUAAUACCGCGUACGCUUCUUGGACUUCGGUUCAGGGAGGAAAGCGAUGCCGAGGGUAUCGCGCUCUUGGAUGGGCUCAUGUCCUAUCAGCUUGUUGGUGAGGUAACGGCUCACCAAGGCUUCGACGGGUAGCUGGUCUGAGAGGACGAUCAGCCACACUGGCACUGCGACACGGGCCAGACUCCUACGGGAGGCAGCAGUAAGGAAUAUUGCGCAAUGGGCGAAAGCCUGACGCAGCGACGCCGCGUGGGGGA
rnacentral:rRNA from 1 species